GAUAAAAUAGUUUAAACUCAAAACAUAGCACUGAAAAUGCUAAAAUGACCAAAGUCUUUAUCC
rnacentral:tRNA from 1 species